rnacentral:rRNA from 1 species
AAUGAACGCUGGCGGCGCGCCUAAUACAUGCAAGUCGAGCGAGAAGACGUAGCAAUACGUUUGUAAAGCGGCGAACGGGUGAGGAAUACAUGGGUAACCUACCCUCGAGUGGGGAAUAACUAGCCGAAAGGUUAGCUAAUACCGCGUACGCUUCUUGGACUUCGGUUCAGGGAGGAAAGCGAUGCCGAGGGUAUCGCGCUCUUGGAUGGGCUCAUGUCCUAUCAGCUUGUUGGGAGGUUACGGCUCACCAAGGCUUCGACGGGUAGCUGGUCUGAGGAGGACGAUCAGCCACACUGGCACUGCGACGACGGGCC